ACAAAAAUCUCUAAUUGGUUAAAAGUAACAGCAAGCUCUUAGAUCGUCCUGGUGGAGGAAAGAUGAGUCCCGUACCCAGAGGCGCAGUGACCUCAUACACUGGCAGAUGAAGUGAGGAGAAGCAGCAGAAGCAGACCUCUGUGCUCACAGUUACACAGUGGCUCUCUCACUGGGACCAGAGCAUUGGAGAGCAGUUUGGGCAGAGGGAGGUGUUUCCUGUCUGAGGGGAAAAUAGAGUCAAGGAGGGGCAAACAACUUGAGACUAGAAUUUACACCCACGGGAUGGCAAUGCGAUCCAGGCCACAUUUCACGCUCGCUGGUCACCAGAUCAGUGUAAACCUCUUCUUCAGCAUGUGCAGGCUUGAAUAAGGCCGACCGCCCACCCUCUGGGACGGGCCACGUCAAGCAUGCCAGAAAGCUCUCUUGUCUGUUGAAGGUUAACCCUGUGGGGUGGAACAGGAAAUGUCUGCAGUGGUCACAGCGCCUGCUGCUUUGGGCUGCAGCUGGAUUUAAAGAGCUCUUUGUGCUCCCAUCUGACAAGGAUUUAAACACAUGAAGCGACUCUUAACUGUAUGGUAUCCCAAGCAACAGCAACAGCCAGUGAAAACCUUUUAUCUUUAACGGUACAGUGAACCAUGCUCUUCAGAUGAGUUGAGUCUGACGCAGAUAAAAGACCAUAAUGUGGGCAACAUACUCAUUUGAGCAGGUGCAUGCUGGGGAAAUUUACGAUGUGGGAAGCCCAGUGAGAUUGAACACCUUGAACACUGAGCUGAGCAUGCCCCCAAAUGUCCCCGCUUUAAAAGAAUUAAAAGUUUAUUCAUAAGCAGCAUGUGGUAAUUGUCAUAUUGUGUAAUGUUUGUUUAUUUGUUUACCAGAAUAUUCCAGUGUCCGGACAGGAAUGAGGUUUGAGUCAUUGCAAAGAUGAUGAUCAUGUGGUCACAGAAAAUCCUGCAACCUCAUACGCAAUGCCAAAAUAUACGCAGCAUUCUGGAAGCAAAAUAAUAUUGUUCCAAAAUAAGAUGUCUCUUGCAACAUUGCCCACAAACAAGCUUGCCAUGUUAGAAGAUUCCCGUCCAAUCCAAUCCAGGACUGUUCUGUUAAUUAUUUAUAUGAUCAAAUGAAAUAAUCACCAAUCCUGAUCUUAUUCUGCUUAUGAAACCUCUGCAGUAUAAAACAUUAACAGAAACAGUAAUUACACAGCAAACAAUGUUUUUGAAUUGCACAAAUA